rnacentral:rRNA from 1 species
GACGUAGGGCGCGAGCGUUGUCCGGAUUUAUUGGGCGUAAAGAGCUCGUAGGCGGCUUGUCGCGUCGACUGUGAAAACUCGAGGCUCAACCUCGAGACGCCGGUGGAAACCGUUUGGCUAGAGUCCGGAAGAGGAGAGUGGAAUUCCUGGUGUAGCGGUGAAAUGCGCAGAUAUCAGGAGGAACACCGGUGGCGAAGGCGGGUCUCUGGGCCGAUACUGACGCUGAGGAGCGAAAGCGUGGGGAGCGAACAGG